rnacentral:rRNA from 1 species
GGAUCGCAGGCUGCAACCCGCCUGCGUGAAGUUGGAAUCGCUAGUAAUCGCGGAUCAGCAUGCCGCGGUGAAUACGUUCCCGGGCCUUGUACACACCGCCCGUCACACCAUGAGAGUCGGGAACACCCGAAGUCCGUAGCCUAACUGCAAAGGGGGCGCGGCCGAAGGUGGGUUCGAUAAUUGGGGUGAAGUCGUAACAAGGUACC